ACACCUCAACUCUCACGGUUCGCCGUGAUGAGCUUGGACUUUGGGGGUCUUGCUGGCCUGUCCGUCGGCUCCUCUCAAAUGAAUUAGCUUUCCAGUGUUUGGUGGAAUCAUGGGUGUGAUAACUAUCUACGCUUGUGGUUUUCUGCCAGGUGUGCAACCUUCAGCGAUGGGGGUUUGCUGGGGCUAAUAAAUGUCUCCCUCCAGCGGAGACAGCUUUGUGAAC
rnacentral:misc_RNA from 1 species